UUAUAUAUUUAUACAUGUAAAUCAUUUUAUUUGACAUAACUGAACAGUUAACCAAUCUUUUUAGUAUAGUUUUGUACAUAUUAUGGUUAUUAAUCUGGCAAGAAAGUCACAUGACCUGCUGCCAACUUUAAUAAAAAUAUAUUAUCUUCUCAUACAUCGUUUUGCUAUUGAUAUCAUAUUAAAUAGCAAUCAAAUUGAUUACUAUUUUGAAAAUGUAUAAUUGAAGAUUCAUAUUGUCUUGAGUGCUGUUUUUAAUAUAAAAAGAAUGUUGAGUUUUCAGAGUCUUUAUUGUCAUUUUUUUGUGAUAGGACCCUACCAGACUAUAUUUGAAUACGGCAUACCCAUGAAUUCUGAACUGUUAUUCCUUAACCCAGUUUGGAGGAUAAGAGCUUACCAACUAGUUAUGUGAGUACACAGAGUACAUUAGUACUGUACACUGUCUCUAACAUGAUUUGUUAUACUGAGAUGAUUUUGAUUCAAAUAACGGUUAAAACUGCACCCUUUUUGGUAUUUUCUUGACUCUUUUUGUCUUUGAAAAUCUGCAGAAAUAUGCUGAGGCGAUGUAUUGCAAAAUAGCCAACAUACAACAAUUAAAGGAUAAUUGCAGACUACGUCUUGAUGAAGAUAUGGAUGACCCUCUGUCUGGUCAACAAUAGUUUAAAUAUGGAUGGGACAGUGAUGUGGCAGCUCUUCCCUGGCUCAUUCACUUCUUGCCUUCAUUUGUGAAAGGAAGAAAGACUGGAGAGGGUCAAUGUGCAACUGAAGCUACUGAUUGUGCUGUGUGAUGAGCAUCAAUCCAUGCUUUGAGGUGGAUGAAUCAGCACAGCCCUGCCUGCUCUGCGUUGGGAACAGAAGUUGCAUCCAGAAUUUUUGCAUCAUUCUGGACCAAAAAGCCAUUCCCUGCAUGAUGAAGACCACUGAUGCAGCCUUCCACUACAUCAUGAGUAAAACAACUACAGAACUUAAUACCAGGUUGGAACGUAUUUAAGAAAAAUGAAACGUCUUUUGAAUUGAAAUGUCUGUUUUGUUAUGGAAAAAUCUUUAGUAUUGUGAAGGAUAAGCAUUUCUGCCUGCCAGUAAGGUAAUUGCAGUGUAUUUUAAUAUUCAAGUUUUGAGUAGGGUGGCUAAUUUUUUUUAACUCUCAUUUGAUUUAUUAAAGACUUUAUAAUAAGUGGUUUUCAUGUC